UAGCGGAGGAAAAGAAACUAACAGGGAUUCCCUUAGUAAGGGCGACUGAACCGGGAAGAGCCCAGCGCAUAACCUCGCGUCCGGCCAGGGCGCGAGGGGUGUUGCGUUUCGGAGGGGUCCAGCACGUCGUCCCACACCGCCUAAGUCAUGCUUGAAAGCGGCCACUACCCGUGGAGGGUGAUAGGCCCGUGUGGCGGCGCCCGCGAGGGCAGGCGUGGGGCGGUCGGAAAGGGCCUCUCUGUAGAGUCGGGUUGCUUGAAAGUGCAGCCCAAAGCAGGUGGUAAACUCCUUCUAAAAGCUAA
rnacentral:rRNA from 1 species